CCUACGGGAGGCAGCAGUUGGGAAUAUUGCACAAUGGGGGAAACCCUGAUGCAGCGACGCCGCGUGAGUGAAGAAGUAUUUCGGUAUGUAAAGCUCUAUCAGCCGGGAAGAAAAUGACGGUACCUGACUACGAAGCCCCGGCUAACUAUGAGCCAGCAGCCGCGGUAAUACGUAGGGGGCAAGCGGUAUCCGGAUUUACGGGGUGUAAAGGGAGCGUAGACGGCGCGGCAAGUCUGAAGUGAAAGGAAGGGGCUUAACCCCUGAACUGCUUUGGAAACUGCCAUGCUAGAUUGCUGGAGAGGUAAGUGGAAUUCCUAGUGUAGCGGUGAAAUGCGUAGAUAUUAGGAGGAACACCAGUGGCGAAGGCGGCUUACUGGACAGUAACUGACGUUGAGGCUCGAAAGCGUGGGGAGCAAACAGGAUUAGAUACCCGUGUAGUC
rnacentral:rRNA from 1 species